GGAAAUUCAGGCAGGGUCUGUCCCUGGGAGAGCAGGAAUAUCCUCUCAAAGGUUUUCUGGGAGCUCCAAAUUAUUAAAUUCCAGAGGCAGAUUGUCCUUGGAAGGUUUUUUGGGAGCUCCAUCAUGACCUCCUGUGCCCACCAGGGUUGUGCCAAAGGCUUUUUUUUUAUUAUUUUGUUUUUUAUUUUAUUUUUUUUUUCUGGGAAAAGCAGGAUUGAAGGCUCUGGAGCAGUGUGUGGGAUUUGGGUGGGAAGCACUCCAGGGGAUCCCACAGUGUCAGUGUAAUUAAUGAAUAAUUUAAUGAUUAAAGUGCAGCAAACACUGCC